UGUACUUUUGCAUAAUGGGUCAGCUAGUUAAUAGGAGUAGCAAGGUUAAAAGCCCUAGCGAAAGCGACUGGACUAAACUAAAUAAAAAUGAUAAUAUAAAAAUUUAAAUUUUUAUUUAAAUAGUGAUGGAUAAGUUACUUCUAUUAGACCCGAAGCCAGGUGAUCUUACCAAGACCAGAUUAUAAUGGAUCGAACGGUUGAAUGUUGCAUAAUUCUCCGAUGAGUUUUGGUAAGCGGUGAAAUGCCAAUCUGACCUGGUGAUAGCUGGUUUUCUACGAAACAUAA
rnacentral:rRNA from 1 species